ACGUAGGAGACAAGCGUUAUCCGGAGUUACUGGGCGUAAAGGGCGUGCAGGUGGUGGAGUAAGUCUGUUGUGAAAGCGCCUGGCUUAACCGGGCGAGGCCAAUGGAGACUGCUCGACUGGAGGGCGGUAGAGGGGUGUGGAAUUCCGGGUGUAGUGGUGAAAUGCGUAGAGAUCCGGAGGAACACCAGAGGCGAAGGCGGCACCCUAAGCCGUACCUGACACUGAGACGCGACAGCACGGGGAGCGAACGG
rnacentral:rRNA from 1 species